ACACACCAAGCACUUUGCAACUCUGGACAUUUUGCCUGCUCUCCCUGGCCUGACGUUCUUUCCUGAGCCUAUUGAAUCACCAGCUGGACCUCAACCUCGCCAUCUCCUAGAAGCCACCCUUGCCUGCCCAAGUAAACCAGCCUUGUCCUCUGGUUUUCUCUGGUGGCUUCGUUCCAUUGCAGGACGCUACUUCUCAGCCCCGUCUGGACCUGGUUCACUCCAUACUAGGCUCUGAGAAGAUGCCGGCGUGGGACCCUGCCCCUGCCAGUGCUGAAGAGAAUUUAUCCUUGAGGUGAUGGAGAGGAACAUGGAUAUGUAGCCAGCCUGAGGGGAUGCUAGAACCUUCUGUUGACCCCUUCCAGUCUGUGUGAUCGUGGCUCUCAUUGAGCUCUCUUGGACCCUGGAAGUCAGCUGGAUCAUGAAGGACAAGUGGAUGUGGACCCGCUGGACUGUGGGCAGAGUGAAGGACCCUCACAGUGACUGCGAACUGAUUCUCAGGCCCAAGCUCUGAGUCCAGAGAGGCAAGGCCCGUGUGUGGCCCUCUAGUUCUACUGUUCUUGUGCUGGAGAAUUCUUCUGCGGUCAUCCUCAUGGGGACAGGUGUGCCUCAGGAACCUCACAUCUCAGGCAGGCUGCCCUCCGGCCUGAAACAACCUUCCCUGAGCCCUGUGCACCCCAAACAAAAGCUGCAUCUGACUCCUCAGCCUUUGUGCACAUCUGCAUUAUUAGCAAUGCUAAUACCAUUCUGCAAUGAUAAAUAAUUAAACAAUUAUGGUCAUGAA